rnacentral:rRNA from 1 species
CUACGGGAUGUUCCAGUGGGGAAUAUUGCACAAUGGGCGCAAGCCUGAUGCAGCCAUGCCGCGUGUAUGAAGAAGGCCUUCGGGUUGUAAAGUACUUUCAGCGGGGAGGAAGGGAGUAAAGUUAAUACCUUUGCUCAUUGACGUUACCCGCAGAAGAAGCACCGGCUAACUCCGUGCCAGCAGCCGCGGUAAUACGGAGGGUGCAAGCGUUAAUCGGAAUUACUGGGCGUAAAGCGCACGCAGGCGGUUUGUUAAGUCAGAUGUGAAAUCCCCGGGCUCAACCUGGGAACUGCAUCUGAUACUGGCAAGCUUGAGUCUCGUAGAGGGGGGUAGAAUUCCAGGUGUAGCGGUGAAAUGCGUAGAGAUCUGGAGGAAUACCGGUGGCGAAGGCGGCCCCCUGGACGAAGACUGACGCUCAGGUGCGAAAGCGUGGGGAGCAAACAGGAUUAGAUACCCCAGUAGUC